rnacentral:rRNA from 1 species
GAACGCGCAGCAUUCUGUAGCAAUACAGGGUGUGGGCGCGUGGCGGACGGGUGCGUAACACGUGGAUAACCUUCCUUGAGGUGGGGAAUAACCCAGUGAAAAUUGGGCUAAUACCGCAUAACAUCGCGAUGGCACAUGCUGAUGCGAUCAAAGGCGCAAGUCGCCACAAGAGGGAUCCGCGGCCGAUUAGCUUGUUGGCGAGGUAAUGGCUCACCAAGGCAAUGAUCGGUAGCCGGACUGAGAGGUUGUCCGGCCACACUGGAACUGAGACACGGUCCAGACUCCUACGGGAGGCAGCAGUGGGGAAUCUUGCACAAUGGACGAAAGUCUGAUGCAGCAACGCCGCGUGGGGGAUGAAGCUUACUCGGAGUGUAAACCCCUUUCGACCCGGAAGAAUGCCCGCAAGGGUAUGACGGUACGGGUAUAAGAAGCCCCGGCUAACUACGUG